UCUCAUUCAUGCGGUGAAAGUCUCAGACGGUUCAUUCGUUGCCGUUCAAUGGAAUUGAAGGACAGACUUGAAUUCACUCACUGACCGUUUUUCUUCUUUGCAAUCAAUGGGAUUAAACCCACACAAUAUAUUUUUCCAGACGAUCCAAUAUAAUCCCAGUUCAGUGGAAUUAUAAACCGCAUGAAGAAUAUGUUCAAUUGAUCCAUUAUAAUAUUAGGGAUUCUCCGUUUUGGCAGCACGCAAUCAAGUAAUUUCAGGAAUAUGCAACAUGUAAAAGCGCAAUAACAAAACACUUGGAUAUCGUUGUGAUGAUGAAACCCAUUACCCAUUCUGAAUUAUCAACUUGAAGAACUUGAUAUGUUUGGUAAAAGCGCCAUAAAAAAGUCUUUAGUUGUUAUUUAGUCGUAAAAUGACAGUUCCCAGAAGUAUUAGCUCCGGGUUUAACUGCACCAGUUUAGCUGAUAUGUUUGUGUAGGUAUUAGAUCUUUAUUUAGGUUGUGGCCAGGGUGCGUAUCAACUCCAAGACUCCCAGUGACCUAACGUCUGGAUCUUUUUAGGAAUCAAAGUACAGCUGAACCCAUGGGUUUGCAAUUAAGCGAUUCCAAUUCUGCAACACCGGUAGAUUUUUAAACCAGUUAAUUUAGUUUUCUCUGAAGAGGCAUUAGGUGAGUUUCACUGCUUUUCUAUUUGUUUUUAAUGCUAAAAGAAGGAAAGUUGUUAUGGGAAUAUAAUAUGUUUGUAUUCGAAAGGCAGGAUUAUGUUACUUUGGUUGUGAAGGAGUGAACCAUACAGUCAUCCUUCUUAUAAACGUUUGAAUUUCGUAAAUGUAAAGUUUAUUUUCAUUUUUGUUGAAUUGUUUCCAACUCUAUCAAAUGUGAUGUAACUCAUGAUAUAAUAUUGAUUGUUGUUUUUA